UACGGGGGGGCAAGCGUUGUUCGGAAUUACUGGGCGUAAAGGGCUCGUAGGCGGCCAACUAAGUCAGACGUGAAAUCCCUCGGCUUAACCGGGGAACUGCGUCUGAUACUGGAUGGCUUGAGGUUGGGAGAGGGAUGCGGAAUUCCAGGUGUAGCGGUGAAAUGCGCAGAUAUCAGGAGGAACACCGGUGGCGAAGGCGGGUCUCUGGGCCGAUACUGACGCUGAGGAGCGAAAGCGUGGGGAGCGAACAGG
rnacentral:rRNA from 1 species